UACGAAGGGUGCAAGCGUUACUCGGAAUUACUAGGCGUAAAGCGCACGUAGGCGGAUCGUUAAGUCGGGGGUGAAAUCCUGGAGCUCAACUCCAGAACUGCCUUCGAUACUGGCGAUCUCGAGUCCGGAAGAGGUGAGUGGAACUCCUAGUGUAGAGGUGGAAUUCGUAGAUAUUAGGAAGAACACCAGUGGCGAAGGCGGCUCACUGGUCCGGUACUGACGCUGAGGUGCGAAAGCGUGGGGAGCAAACAGG
rnacentral:rRNA from 1 species